rnacentral:rRNA from 1 species
UACGGGGGGGGCAAGCGUUGUUCGGAAUUACUGGGCGUAAAGGGCGCGUAGGCGGUUUGUUAAGUCGGUGGUGAAAUCCUGGAGCUCAACUCCAGAACUGCCUUCGAUACUGAGAGUCUCGAGUCCGGGAGAGGUGAGUGGAACUGCGAGUGUAGAGGUGAAAUUCGUAGAUAUUCGCAAGAACACCAGUGGCGAAGGCGGCUCACUGGCCCGGUACUGACGCUGAGGUGCGAAAGCGUGGGGAGCAAACAGG